rnacentral:lncRNA from 1 species
UUCCACAAUAGUAUGAAUUGUUCAAACUAUGCUAAAAGAUCUGUUUAUUUGAGUUACUAUAUAUGAAGCUAUUCUUCAAUGUAUUUGUUUUACAAAUCGGAACUCGAAAUUCACGUUUAUUUCUAAGAUUUACAUUCAUUAAGAUCAGGAAGAAGAUGUUGUAGUUUGUGGUUAUGAUGACGGCAAAAUUCAUUCUAAGUGUCAGGAAGUUGGUAUGUGUCUAGCAAAGAACCUCUCCUACACAGUUCACACUCCCACAAGACUCCUCCCUACAGCCCCUUCGCAGAUUGCCCACCUUUGAAGCAUUUCAUCUUGGCACAGUUUACCAAAAUAGCGAAGUUAUUCUUGUGUGUUUUUCAGGCAUCCGGCUAUCAAUCCACAGCUUGCCCAUUAGGCCAUAUAGCGUCUGCAUCAUCAGAGCAUAAGUUUGAAACAUGAUAUAUGCACAAUUGACCUGUUAAAAUGUUAAUUUCCUAUAAUUCGUAUCACCAUAGUUAUUAUAUUAACUAUGGUAUCACUCAUUUAGUCUGUCUGGUCUAAAUUAAGCCAUGCCGUGAAUUUCGAUUCCGCUUCGCCAUUUUGCAUUGCCCAUACGUUGUUCGCCUCGUUUUCAUGUCACAUGAGAAAGACAUAUUUCAGUCGAUAUAAUCUUGAACUGUGUGUAGACUCUGUACCAGUGUAGGUGGUGGCAAUAAUAUGAACAAGCUUUCGUUGGCAGGGAUGCAUGCAACGAUCUGAAAAAUAUAAGCAACUACAUGAAAAAUAUCUCCUUAUAUUUUUCUGGUAGUUGUAUUCCUACCAACGAAAGAUUGUUCAUAUUUCAGGCGACAGUUAAAAAAAAUAUAACACGCAAACUCGCGCUUUAAUCCUUCUAGUGGGUUUCAAAAUGUGAAGACUUUUCAUCAGUGCUUUACACCAGGAAUUAAUAACAUCAUAAAACUUAAUUACAACCUAAUUGCUUGGAUUGCAUUUUGUGCUAAGUCGACAUUUUUCUUUCACAAUUCCGCGUCUUAAAUAGAUUAAAGUUACUAGAUUACAUCCGCUUUUUGUUAUUUAAAUCGGUUUCUAAAAAUGAUACAUAAUCCCCCUUAAUCUUUCACAUUGACCACAGGUUAGGGCUCUGGUUCUCCUUCACGUGCAGUUUCGAAGCCACCUACACAGAGACGUGACCUUUCAAAACGUUUCUGCAGGCUUGAGCAUUUUUGGACAUUUCAUUUUUCAUUGUCCAUAUCAGAUAUAAGUAUGUCGUUAACAACACAAAAGCGAGGGUAAAUUAUCCAUCAUUUGUUAAAGAGACAACUAGACAAUACACCAGCCAUCAUACAAUGUGUAACGAAGCAAGGCCUCAUUAAGAACCAACACUUGUUUUGGAGAGCAACGCUUAAGCUUUUGGCUUUGCCGACUCACAAUAUUAGGCACUGAAUGUCAAGCAUGUCAAGCAUAUAGCAAUUGCAACCGAUUUACUCGUUUCAGCAUUGCACACGGAACUACUAGGAAUUGGUGGAAAAAAGUCUUCCUACUUUUUGAGGGUUUGACUCACGCAACUAUCAGCAAAUUAAGAACAAACGUCAGGAAACGUCGACGUUUCGAGCUAAAUUUUUUAUCGGUUACUUGACUACUUAAGUAGAGAAUUUUCUUUGCCAGAGCAGCACUCAUGCUGAUCCAAAUGUGUGAAAUUCCACAUCUUCUCAAAAAGCAGAGUAUUCCCAAUGCUUGUUUCAUGUUUUCUUGUUUCAAUUUAUGAUAAGUUGUACAAGUUUGUAACAAGUUGUUGUCACAGUAUAUAACAAAGCAUAUAGAACAAAGUUCACAAGCAGUCCGAAGCAGAACAAAGUUCGUAUCAGAUUGAAAAUUAAAAUCUUGUUAAUCUUGUCAAAUGCACACAAUAUCAUGACAAACAGCUUUGAGAUAGUGCUCCAGCUUGUUACAAGAAGUUCAUAACAACUGGGGACAAACCCGAGUGAAAACAUAUUCCAACAAAUAUUCAGAUAUCGGCUUUCUGGCAGACGUUUUGCCUCUUACAUACAUCACGUAAAUACGUAACUCUGCUUAAUUCUAAGCGUGAGUCUGUAAGUACAUGCAUAUAACCUGAUCAAAGUAAAUCUUUAAAUAUUCUAAUACUGAAGAACAUAUUUUGACUGAUGAAUUAUCUUGGAAACUAUUUUAGGACUAUGAUUGCUAUCAGUUUCAUUGACUGUAGAUUUUAUUCAAGCAAGACAAUGCCUCAAUGAAUUGAGCCAGACCCCCUACACACGCUGCCACGAGUGAGAUAAUCCAGUACUUUGUUUUAUUUAAUGUUUUACUCGUGCAAGAUAAGCCUCUUGCCUUGAGGCGAUUCACGUAGAAUUGAUGUUGGUAUACGAAUCAAAAACAUUCCAGAAGCACUCUUUUCACAUCAUCAAUAAGUGUAUAACUAGCAUUUUCCACGAUAAAAAAUGGAAGAUGAAUGCAUUCGUGCUUCAGAUUAUUUCACAAUGUUUGCUGUUGCACGGUCGACUAACUUUAUAUCUUCAGUUCCACGUUUCGUAUGUUGACUAAAGAUUAAGUUUCUUAAAAGAUGCACAGUCAUCGAAUUUCUUCCGAGAGUUCAGGCUAGCCGGAGAAUCUGUGACGCGCUACCUACACAGAGAUCCAACCUUAGGAAGACUUGGUAAUUGAAAACAUGUAUAGGUCUCUUUCUCUUUUA